UGGUCAUUCCAGGUGUUUGAUAAAAUGCACAGGCUGUGCAAAUACAAGGACACGCAGGUUAAUCGUGCUGCACACGCAAACACUCCUGUUCACUAAUCCGAGCAGCAAGUAGUGACUCUGCUGUGAGAGAAUCAGGGUGAAAAUCAUCCUAGUCUGAUGAGAUUAUUUGUUAGCAGAAGAAGAGGUGAGAGUAAAGCAGUCUCAAUCUUUCUCUCCUCUUUGGGCAAGGGGAGCUCUAUGGCUUGGCAUGUCGGUUUGAGGUAAUGUUUACUAAGUGUGCUAAUUACGCUUUUUGGCAUUUACUUGAGCCUGUAUGAAAACCCAGAGACAGAAUGGGAAGCCCUGGCUUCAGUGACUAUGUUAUUGCCUAUAUUUUCCAACCAAAGAGGUUGCUCCUUUCGCUGAAGUGGUUGGAGUUGGGACUAAGGCUUUUAGUGCUGGAGGUCUGAAAUAUAAUACCUGCUGAUCCCCGUGGUGUCUGCAUGUGUGUGUGACUCUAAUUCAGGACAAUAGCAUGUACCUGCUGAGAAGAGAGAGAGAGAUAUGUGGUAACAUUUCCCAAUCAGUAGAAACUGCCAGUUUGGGGCAUGUAGGAAAUUUUAUACUGAUAUGUGUGAUCUAUGGGACAUGAUUCCAGAAGCAACUGGGAAUACCUGAGCUCAGAGAGACACAACACCGAACUAUUGCAUUCAGUGAAUCAAAGCCACCUUGGUGUAAUUGGUGCCCUGGGGAUUAAUUUGUCCCAAUCUUUCUUACUGUGUUAUUAAAUGAUGCAAUUUCUACCAGAGUUACAGAGUAUGAGGUUAUGGUAUAUUUCAUCCUGAUGUUUUCAGUGCAAAUUGGGUACUGUGUAGACCUGAUCCACAACCUUUUUUUUUUUUUUUUUUUUUUGGAGACCGAAAUCUUUUUGCUAAAAACUUAAUAUUUCGACUCAGAAAUACCACAGAGGUGCCUCAGAUGCCACACACCACAAAUUUCUUCCAUGAACCAGGCUCCCAGGCUGGACUACAUCCCCCUAUUAUGCAUGAUGGUCUCUCCUCUUGCUGAACUGCCCUGGAACUUCAGCAGAGUCACAUAGCCAUGGUUUAGGGAGUAUGUGAGUUUUUUAUUUUGAUGGAAAGCUGAUAAUUUCAG